GAAAGUAAAAAAGGGCGCAUGGCGGAUGCCUUGGCUCUCGGAGGCGAUGAAGGACGUGAUAAGCUGCGAUAAGCUUUGGGGAGGUGCAAAUGACCUUUGAUCCAGAGAUUUCCGAAUGGGACAACCCAAUAUCUUGAAGAGGUAUUAUCCAACGUUGUUGGAGGCUAACGCAGGGAACUGAAACAUCUUAGUACCUGCAGGAAAAGAAAAUAAACAAUGAUUCCCCCAGUAGUGGCGAGCGAACGGGGAACAGCCCAAACCAUCCAUGUUACGGCAUGGGUGGGGUUGUAGGACUACGCCGUUGCAUGAAGACAUCAGAGAAGAACUUUCUGGAAAGAAAGACCAUAGAGCAUGACAGUUGCGUAUUCGAAUGUUGUCGAAGCAUAGUAGUAUCCUGAGUAGCGCGGAGCACGAGGAAUUCUGCGUGAAUCUGCCGGGACCAUCCGGUAAGGCUAAAUACUCCCGAGAGACCGAUAGCGAACCAGUACCGUGAGGGAAAGGUGAAAAGCACUUCGAACAGAAGAGUGAAAUAGUUCCUGAAACCGUGCGCCUACAAGCGGUCGGAGCUCGUUAAUGAGUGACGGCGUGCCUUUUGCAUAAUGAACCUACGAGUUGCCUUUGCCGGCAAGGUUAAGUGUGACGACACACGUAUCCGAAGCGAAAGCGAGUCUGAACAGGGCGUAUAGUCGGCAGUGGCAGACGCGAAACCAAGUGAUCUACCCUUGGCCAGGUUGAAGGCUGGGUAACACCAGCUGGAGGACCGCACCAAUAAGCGUUGAAAAGCUUCUGGAUGAGCUGAGGGUAGGGGUGAAAGGCUAAUCAAACUUGGAGAUAGCUCGUACUCCCCGAAAUGCAUUUAGGUGCAGCCUUGCGGGUUACUGAUGUGAGGUAGAGCGACUGAUAAGAUGCGAGGGCUUCACCGCCUAUCAAGUCUUGACAAACUCCGAAUGCGCAUCAGUUCUACCGCAGGAGUGAGGGCAUGGGUGCUAAGGUCCGUGCCCGAGAGGAGAAGAAUCCGGACCACCUGCUAAGGUCCCGAAAUGACAGCUAAGUUAAACUAACGAAGUCUGACUGCUAAGACAGCUAGGAUGUUGGCUUGGAAGCAGCCAUUCAUUUAAAGAGUGCGUAACAGCUCACUAGUCGAGGAGUCGGGCGUGGAUAAUAAUCGGGUAUUAAGUUGUCUACCGAAGCAGUGGGAUCAUUAAUAUGAUCGGUAGGGGAGCAUUCCAGUCAGCGUCGAAGGCGUACCGUGAGGUAUUCUGGAGCGUCUGGAAAAGCAAAUGUAGGUAUAAGUAACGAUAAAGGGGGCGGGAAACCCCCUCGCCGAAAGACUAAGGUUUCCUGAUCAACGCUAAUCGGAUCAGGGUUAGUCGGGUCCUAAGGCUCAGCCGAACGGUGAGGCCGAUGGCAGAACAGGUUAAUAUUCCUGUACUACCUUAAAGAGUGACGUGGAGACGGAGGCGUGACAGUGCCGCGAACUGACGGAAUAGUUCGUUGAAGGGUGUAGAUGUUGAUCGGGGCAGGCAAAUCCGCUCCGAGAGUCGAACCUGAUAGUAUGGAGCGUUCUUCGGAACAAUCCAAUAGUGCAUGUAAGCAUACUCCCAAGAAAAUCCGCUAAACUUAAUCUUUAAGGUACCCGUACCGUAAACGGACACACGUAGUCGGGUUGAAUAUACUAAGGCGCUUGAGUGAUUCACGGUUAAGGAACUAGGCAAAUUGACCCUGUAACUUCGGGAUAAAGGGUCCCAACGAGAGUUGGGCGCAGAGAAUAGGUCCAGGCAACUGUUUAACAAAAACACAGGGCUGUGCCAAAUUGAAAGAUCACGUAUACAGCCUGACACCUGCCCGGUGCUGGAAGGUUAAGAGGAGAUGUCAUCGCAAGAGAAGCAUUGAAUUGAAGCCCCAGUAAACGGCGGCCGUAACUAUAACGGUCCUAAGGUAGCGAAAUUCCUUGUCGGGU
rnacentral:rRNA from 1 species